rnacentral:rRNA from 1 species
AAUCAACGCUGGCGGCGUGCCUCAGACAUGCAAGUCGAACGAUUAAAGCUCUCUUCGGAGAGUGCAUAGAGUGGCGCACGGGUGAGUAACACGUAAGUAAUCUACCCUCGAGUGGGGAAUAACGUCCGGAAACGGACGCUAAUACCGCAUAAUGCAGCGGCACCGCAAGGUGACAGUUGUUAAAGGAGAAAUUCGCUUGAGGAGGAGCUUGCGGCAGAUUAGCUUGUUGGUAAGGUAACGGCUUACCAAGGCUACGAUCUGUAACCGGGCUUAGAGGACGGUCGGUCACACUGACACUGAAUAACGGGUCAGACUCCUACGGGAGGCAGCAGUCGGGAAUUUUGGGCAAUGGGCGAAAGCCUGACCCAGCAACGCCGCGUGAAGGAUGAAGUAUUUCGGUAUGUAAACUUCGAAAGAAUAGGAAGAAUAAAUGACGGUACUAUUUAUAAGGUCCGGCUAACUACGUGCCAGCCGCCGCAGUAAU